CCUACGGGGGCAGCAGUGAGGAAUACUGGUCAAUGGGCGCGAGCCUGAACCAGCCAAGUCGCGUGAAGGAUGACUGUCCUACGGGAUGUAAACUUCUAUUAUCAAGGAAUAAAGUGAGGCAAGUGGGCCUUUUUGUAUGUACUUUCUGAAUCAGGAUCGGAUAACUCCGUGCAAGCAGCCGCGGUAAUACGGGGGAUCCGAGGGUUAGCCGGAUUUCGUGGGGGUAAGGGUAGCGUAGAUGGGGUGGUAAGUCUGUUGUGAAAGUUUGCGGCUCAAACGUAAAAUUGCAAUUGAUACUGGCAGUCUUGAGUACAGUUGAGGUAGGCGGAAUUCGUGGUGUAGCGGUGAAAUGCUUAGAUAUCACGAAGAACUCCGAUUGCGAAGGCAGCUUACUAAACUGCCACUGACAUUGAUGCUCGAAAGUGUGGGUAUCAAACAGGAUUAGAUACCCCAGUAGUA
rnacentral:rRNA from 1 species